CCCCGACGAUAUCAUCGUCUAUCCCGAUGGUUGACUGCAAACAUCGUCAACUGCCAAUCUAGGGGACAUCGCCCAACCCUAGUCCACACAUGCUUGUAUUUCUGCAACUUUUCCACUGUCUUCUUUUUCGUCUUUGUCCACUACUCUAGACAAAGUGUGUACAUGUACUUUCCUUUUGUGUACAUCAUGUGCACGUCAUAUUUUUGCAGCCUGAUUGACAUCCACUGUUUCCUUACAGGACAAUCACUCAGUGCUUUGGACAUGAUUGACACCAAUGGUUUAUGGUCGGUUUCCACUUCAAACGUUUGGCCAUAGACAUAUUGAUGGAACCGCUCACAUGCGGACAUGCUGGCUAACAGUUUCUACUAACUGAAACGCUGGCUGUUUUUGGUAAAUAAAUAAGAGCAAAUGUGACUUUGGGAACUUUUUAAAAUAAAAAUAGUGCUGAAAGAAGACCCGUUUUUUUUUUUUUAAAUGUCUUCUACAUCAUUUUUGCUUCCAAGAUUAAUUGUAAAAUGAUCCAAGAAACAGAAACAGUGAUGUUGGUUUAAUGCUCAAUUAACCAGAAAGUUGACAGAAAACCUUUACAGCACAACAUUCAUGAUUAUUCAAUAUUAUUUCUUUCAAAGUCAUGGUUUUUAUUCAUAUACUUAUGGUUGGUUUGUAUUUCUUGUUUAAAAAAAUUAUAAUUGAUUAUUUUAGAUGCAUUGUUUUAAUUUUCAUACAUCCAGUUUAAAGACAAACACCAGCAUAACACAUUCAACUGCUAAGAAAUGUGGUUUGAUCUGUGAAUCGUUGAUCUUGGUUCCUGAAUUGAAUCAGAUCUUUUCCUAAUUAUUGAUUACCAGCUACCAGAAACUAACUUGAUUCACCUCCAGUUAACACACAAACAUUGCCUAGAAAUGACUUCAAAUGAUGGGAGUAAUGUAUAGAUGUGGGGCUUUCUGCUCUCUCUUCAGGGAAGUGCAGGUGGACUGGCAUUCUGUGUCUAGCAACUUCAAUGGUUCUGGAUGCUGAGCAACAUUCACCUUUAAAUGACAGCUAUUAAGUCCUCCAAAGAGGAUGGAAGUCAUUUUUAUAACAAAUUGUUUUGCAGGAGCAUGUGUCAGUGGUUCAGGACAUGAAGCUGGAUCCUGCUCACAUGUUCCAACUUUAUCUGCAGCAAACUGAAAGUUUGAAGAAGCUGAACAUUCCCUCAUAUUUCCCUGACUUGAAAACUUGGGAUGUGUCUGCUGAGCUCCUCAUCAAACACACGGCUGAGUCUGAGCCGACUGAUCAGAAGAUUCAGACUGAGGAAACUUCCUUUGUAAAGUUGAUAAAUGUUACAUUUAUUCUUGGUUUUAAUUUUCUGAUAUAAAGCUAAGACUGAUUGAACACAGGAUAUAAAAAAUAGAUUUUUCCUGAAUAAAAAAAUCCAACUUUAAUUUCAUUCAUUUUUAUUGUUAAGACGCUUCUUAAAAGUAUCUAAAUGUACAUGGAGCAAGGUUCAAAGUAAUUUUUGGGCUUGUUAAAAAUACCCAAUGUAAUUCUAACCUUCUCUAACCAGAGUCAGAGGACAGAGUCUGGUGUGGAUGAACUGGACUGGCCUGCACAGAGUCCCGGUGUCAUGUGGUCCUGCUGCUUCCCUGCUCUUCAGUGGCCUGGAAAAAGAAGCAGCUGGACAUCAUGACGCUGGAGCAGCUGUGGUCUGAAGUCCUCUCUGAGCUGCCUUGCUCCUUCCUGUGAGGAAGGAUGUUGCUGCACUUAAGAAACACAAGCUGGUGGAACCCUCCAAGAACCUGCAGGAGAACAUCUGCUCCAGUCAUGAUGAGGUGAUGAGGAUGUUCUGUCGCAUCACAAUCUGUUCUCUCUGCUCUGUGGAAGAACAUAACAUAGUCUCAUCUGCAGCAGAAAGCCCUGAGAAGCAGAGACAGCUGGAGGACAAUCAACAACGAAUCCUGCAGAGACUCCAGGAGCCGCAGGUUGCCGACCCCCGCACUAAACCAUUAGGGGACAGCGCAUCAUGUGGACCAGGGACGGCCAUUUUCUCUUAACACAAUUUUUAGAGAACAUUCUAAAAA